rnacentral:rRNA from 1 species
AUUGAACGCUGGCGGCAGGCCUAACACAUGCAAGUCGAGCGGUAGAGAGAAGCUUGCUUCUCUUGAGAGCGGCGGACGGGUGAGUAAUGCCUAGGAAUCUGCCUGGUAGUGGGGGAUAACGUUCGGAAACGGACGCUAAUACCGCAUACGUCCUACGGGAGAAAGCAGGGGACCUUCGGGCCUUGCGCUAUCAGAUGAGCCUAGGUCGGAUUAGCUAGUUGGUGGGGUAAUGGCUCACCAAGGCGACGAUCCGUAACUGGUCUGAGAGGAUGAUCAGUCACACUGGAACUGAGACACGGUCCAGACCCCUACGGGAGGCAGCAGUGGGGAAUAUUGGACAAAGGGCGAAAGCCUGAUCCAACCAUGCCGCGUGUGUGAAGAAGGUCUUCGGAUUGUAAAGCACUUUAAGUUGGGAGGAAGGGCAGUAAAUUAAUACUUUGCUGUUUUGACGUUACCGACAGAAUAAGCACCGGCUAACCCUGUG